UGUUUCUGAAACAAUAAUGGAGAGCCAGAUCUACAGAGUUCACGAGGGAUUUUUCUUCUACCAAUGUUGCUUCCUUUCAUCCUUUUUCCUUCCAAGUCAUAAUCACUAUUAAAGAUCGUUCUUCAUGAAUUAUUGUUUCCAAACCCCCUUAAUCAUUCAUAAGAUUGGUUAACAUCAUUAUCGAUUUGAUAUGAUUUCCAUUCUUAAUCGCUCCUUGUUCUUCUUUCUGCUUUGUGUUUCUAGGUUAUGAUUAUCCCAAUGUUUGGCGACUCUGAAGCUGUUUACACAAUUGACAACAUUAUUGUUGGAGAUUUAAAUUGACCAAACCAAGCUAAAAUACAAUUCUGAUGGACCAACUCGUGAGGAGCCAAAUCUACAGAGUUCACGAAGGUUUUUGCUUCAAAUAAUGUUGCUUCCUUUCAUCCUUUUUCCUUCCAAGUCGCAAAAAGCUCGUCCUUCAUUGCGAAUCAUUGUAACCAAACCCCAUAAUCGUUCAAAAGACAGGUUAAUGCUAUGAUCAUCCUAGUUUUUGGCAACUCUGAAGUUGUUCACACAAUUGAUAACAUUAUUGAUGGAGAUUUAAAUUGGUAUGUGUUUAUUCUCAAAAUUCUUUUAAUUUCUAACUAUCCAUAUGAUUUUCGUGAUAAUUGCCAUUAAAUCUCAUUAUUCAUCGCAAAUUAUUGUACCCUAACCCUAAAAUUGUUCAAAAGACAUGUUAAAAUCAUUACUGACUUUCAAAUUUGUUAGAGAAGGAGGACACAAUUUGAGAUGAUUUAUCUUGUUGAUAAUUAACGACCCUGUAGUAACAAACCUCACUCAUAAUAGAGUAUGCCUCGUCUUUAACCUUCUUGGUAAGGUACUCCAGUGCAAUUCGAGCAACUUCGUGGCCAGCUGCUUUUCGAUGGAAGAAAGUAAGUUGCGAAGUGAAAAUCAACCCAUCCACCAUCACACUUGAUCUAUACGCAGGUACCUGGGUUUAUCCAAAGUUGCGAGAAAGAAACUCAGGAUGUUUCAUGUUUGACUUCAGAGCAAAUUGUAUCAAAUUAUUUUUAAACAUUG